GCUCGCGUAGCUCAGUGGUUAAGCGCUGGGGUCGUACAGACCGCAUGAAUGGUUGAUUCUUCUUCUUCCCCGGAAGUUGAAGGGACUGAUACGCGUCGUGCGGUUGGCUUCCAGAAACCUUGGUUCGAAUCCGGGCGUGGGCA